AUGACAGUUUGGGACAGACAGAGAAAUGUGCUCGCAAGAGUGCCUCGAACUGGCAAUCGCAUGUAUAUUCUCAACAUCCAACCGUCAGAGCCGGUCUGUUUGCUUGCACACGCAAAGGAAGAUGCGUGGUUGUGGCACAUGAGGUACGGGCAUGUAAAUUUCCGUUCACUCUGUGCACUGGCAGCCGAGGAGAUGGUCGAAGGAAUGCCGCAGCUCAAGCAAGUUAAUCAGGUGUGUGAUAGUUGUAUGAUUGCAAAGCAGAAACGACUUCCGUUCCCGGCACAAGCAGCAUACCGAGCAGUUAAACAACUAGACCUAUGGCACGGGGAUCUCUGUGGACCCAUCACACCUCCGACCCCAGGUGGUAAGCGUUACUUUCUGCUUCUGGUCGAUGACUAUUCUCGAUACAUGUGGAUUGUGUUGCUGCAUAGUAAGGAUGAGGCAAUGGAAGCCAUCAAGAAAGUGCAGAUUGCAGCUGAGGUUGAGAAGAACCUGAAACUAAAGGCGCUGCGCACUGACAGGGGUGGCGAAUUCACCUCUGCCGAGUUCGUUGAUUACUGUGAACGCCACGGCAUCAAGCAUUUCAGGACAGCACCCUAUACACCUCAGUACAAUGGGGUGGUUGAGAGAAGAAAUCAAACCGUCGUGGGGAUGGCGAGGAGCCUCCUCAAGAGUAUGGGCAUGCCUGCAAGGUUUUGGGGUGAAGCCGUGACUACCGUUGUGUACCUGCUGAACUGAGCUCCUACAAAGAGUGUGAAAGGGAUGACACCCUAUGAGGCAUGGCAUGAGAGAAAGCCCUCUGUGCAACACCUGCGUACAUUUGGUUGCACCGCUCAUGUGAAGAAAGUUGGGCCGGGACAGACCAAACUAGCUGACAGAAGCAAGCAAAUGGUGAUGAUCGGAUAUGAAACCGGAUCAAAGGCCUAUCGCAUGUAUGAUCCAGACAGCAAGAAGCUGGUCAUCACAUGGGAUGCGAUGUUUGAAGAAGAUAGGCCAUGGAAUUGGAGCUCUUUGGAGUUAGUUGAAGAAAAAGAUCCAGAUUCUUUUGUUGUGUUCUAUCCGAAUGAGCAAGAUUCAGAAGAGAUUGGAGAAGUAGCGGAAAGCGCUGCCACGGCAGCGAAAUCUCCUGCAGCGCCUCGGCAGACCUUCAAGACUCGGCAAGCAAACGAUGGUGUCGCUAUUCCGAUCGAUUUGGAGAGCUCUCCUGUGACCCCAACUCACUUCCAAGCAUCUCCAGGCACACCAUAUACCGAGCCAUCGCUGGGUCCACAAGGCGAGCGCUUGCUCUAG
rnacentral:rRNA from 1 species